rnacentral:rRNA from 1 species
CCUACGGGAGGCAGCAGUGGGGAAUAUUGGGCAAUGGGCGCAAGCCUGACCCAGCAACGCCGCGUGAAGGAAGAAGGCUUUCGGGUUGUAAACUUCUUUUCUCAGGGACGAAGAAAGUGACGGUACCUGAGGAAUAAGCCACGGCUAACUACGUGCCAGCAGCCGCGGUAAUACGUAGGUGGCAAGCGUUAUCCGGAUUUAUUGGGUGUAAAGGGCGUGUAGGCGGGAGCGUAAGUCAGAUGUGAAAACUCAGGGCUCAACCCUGAGCCUGCAUUUGAAACUGUGUUUCUUGAGUGCUGGGGAGGCAAUCGGAAUUCGGGGUGUAGCGGUGAAAUGCGUAGAUAUACGGAGGAACACCAGUGGCGAAGGCGGAUUGCUGGACAGUAACUGACGCUGAGGCGCGAAAGCGUGGGGAGCAAACAGGAUUAGAUACCCGGGUAGUC